GACGAACGCUGGCGGCGUGCCUAAUACAUGCAAGUCGAACGCACAGUUUAUACCGUAGCUUGCUACACCAUAGCCUGUGAGUUGCGAACGGGUGAGUAACGCGUAGGUUACCUGCCUGGUAGCAGGGGGUAACUAUUGGAAUCGUUAGCUAAUACCGCAUGAUAUUGAUUAUUCCAUGAUAAUUGAUUGAAUGAUGCUCUUGCAUCACUACCAGCUGGACCUGCGUUGUAUUAGCUAGUAGGUGAGGUAACGGCUCACAUAAGCGAAGAUACAUAUCCGACCUGUGAGGGGGAGCGGCCACACUGGGAAUGUGACACGGCCCAGACUCCUAUGGGAGGGAGCAGAAGGGAAUCUUCGGCGAUGGAGGAAAGACUGACCGGGAGACGCCGCGUGAGAGAAGAAGGUGUUCGGAUCGUAAAGCUCUGUUGUAAGAGAAGAACGGGAGUGAGAGUGGAAAGUUCACACUGUGACGGUAACUUACCAGAAAGGGACGGCUAACUACGUG
rnacentral:rRNA from 1 species